CUACCUAACCUAAACCCUACCUAACCCUAAAACCUUUCUAACCCUAAACCCUUUUUAACCCUAAACCCUACCUAACCCUAAACCCUACCUAACCCUCAACCCUACCUACCCUAAACCCUUUUUAACCCUAAACCCUACCUAACCCUACCUAACCCUAAACCCUAUCUAUCCUAAACCCUUUUUAACCCUAAACCCUACCUAACCCUAAACCCUACCUAACCCUCAACCCUACCUACCCUAAACCCUUUUUAACCCUAAACCCUACCUAACCCUAAACCCUACCUAACCCUAACCCU
rnacentral:lncRNA from 1 species